rnacentral:tRNA from 1 species
GGUCUCGUGGCCUAAUGGAUAAGGCGUUGGUCUUCGGAACCAAAGAUUGUGGG